AUCUGUUAGCUUUACACUGCAUUUGUUUUUCUAUGUGCCUUACACUUUGUUGGUUGUUCUGUUAGCUUUACACUGCAUUUGUUUUUCUAUGUGACUUACACUUUGUUGGUUGUUCUGUUGACUUUACACAGUUUUGUUUUUCUAUGUGCCUUACACUUUGUUGGAUGUUCUGUUGACUUUACACUGUUUUUGUUUUUCUAUAAGUCUUACUCUUUGUUAGAUUUUUUGUCUGCUUUACACUGUAUUUUUUAAUUCG
rnacentral:lncRNA from 1 species